rnacentral:rRNA from 1 species
CCUACGGGGGGCUGCAGUGAGGAAUAUUGGUCAAUGGACGAGAGUCUGAACCAGCCAAGUAGCGUGAAGGAUGACUGCCCUAUGGGUUGUAAACUUCUUUUAUAUGGGAAUAAAAUGUUCCACGUGUGGGAUUUUGUAUGUACCAUAUGAAUAAGGAUCGGCUAACUCCGUGCCAGCAGCCGCGGUAAUACGGAGGAUCCGAGCGUUAUCCGGAUUUAUUGGGUUUAAAUGGAGCGUAGGUGGAUUGUUAAGUCAGUUGUGAAAGUUUGCGGCUCAACCGUAAAAUUGCAGUUGAAACUGGGAGUCUUGAGUACAGUAGAGGUGGGCGGAAUUCGUGGUGUAGCGGUGAAAUGCUUAGAUAUCACGAAGAACUCCGAUUGCGAAGGCAGCUCACUGGACUGCAACUGACGCUGAGGCUCGAAAGUGUGGGUAUCAAACAGGAUUAGAUACCCGUGUAGUC